UUUCCAGAGAUGGAUUGGUGCCUUCGGGAACUGUGAGACAGGUGCUGCAUGGCUGUCGUCAGCUCGUGUUGUGAAAUGUUGGGUUAAGUCCCGCAACGAGCGCAACCCUUAUCCUUUGUUGCCAGCGGUUAGGUCGGGAACUCAAAGGAGACUGCCAGUGAUAAACUGGAGGAAGGUGGGGAUGACGUCAAGUCAUCAUGGCCCUUACGACCAGGGCUACACACGUGCUACAAUGGCGCAUACAAAGAGAAGCGACCUCGCGAGAGCAAGCGGACCUCAUAAAGUGCGUCGUAGUCCGGAUUGGAGUCUGCAACUCGACUCCAUGAAGUCGGAAUCGCUAGUAAUCGUGGAUCAGAAUGCCACGGUGAAUACGUUCCCGGGCCUUGUACACACCGCCCGUCACACCAUGGGAGUGGGUUGCAAAAGAAGUAGGUAGCUUAACCUUCGGGAGGGCGCUUACCACUUUGUGAUUCAUGACUGGGGUGAAGUCGUAACAAGGUAACCGUAGGGGAACCUGCGGUUGGAUCACCUCCUUACCUUAAAGAAGC
rnacentral:rRNA from 1 species